GUUGGUACUUUGUUUUUCUUUUGCAGCAGAAGCACUUUUCUGAAGAUAAACCAAAUAUAGCCUAAUGAUAUGUCAUAGUUUUUUUUGCAUAUAUUUGGUUAAACUUACAAUUGUUUAACACAUGGAGAACGUGAGACUUCCAUUUUUUUUUACGGAGGGAGUAUUCACUGCCUGUGUGUUACGCCAUACUAAUAUAUAGCAUUUGUGCGGUUGAGUUAGUUAUUAGAUUUAACUGGACUCAAAUAAACUUUA
rnacentral:lncRNA from 1 species